rnacentral:rRNA from 1 species
UACAGAGACCUCAAGCGUUAUCCGGAAUCAUUGGGCGUAAAGCGUGCCGAUAGGUGGUUAUGCAAGUCAGACGUGAAAUCUCCGAGCUCAACUCGGAAUCUGUCGUUUGAAACUGCACAACUAGAGGGGCAAAGAGGAAGCUGGAACGAACGGUGUAGUAGUGAAAUGCGUUGAUAUCGUUCGGAACACCAAUAGCGAAGGCAGGCUUCUGGGUGCCACCUGACACUGCUAGGACGGAAAGCGAUGGGGAGCGAAGUGGG